UCAAGCUACAAAGGGCAUAUGGUGGAUGCCUUGGCGCCAUGAGCCGAAGAAGGACGCGAUAAGCUGCGAUAAGCCGCGGGGAACUGCAAAUAAGUAUAGAUCCGCGGAUUUCCGAAUGGGGAAACCCGGCAGUCGUAAUGGGCUGUCACCCGAGAGGGAGGGAACCCGGUGAACUGAAACAUCUAAGUAACCGGAGGAAGAGAAAUCAAACGAGAUGCCCGUAGUAGCGGCGAGCGAAGGGGGCAUAGCCCAAACCGUGGGCCUUCGGGCCUGCGGGGUUGUGGACCGGCGUAAACGGACGAGUUGCUAGUAGAAUUACCUGGAAAGGUAAGCGAGAGAGGGUAAAAGCCCCGUAUACGAAAGCGACGAGGACGCGGCCGGGAUCCAGAGUACCACGGAGCACGAGGAAUUCUGUGGGAAGCAGGGGGGACCACCCUCCAAGGCUAAACACUCCAUGGCGACCGAUAGCGCAGAGUACCAUGAGGGAAAGGUGAAAAGAACCCCGGGAGGGGAGUGAAAGAGAACCUGAAACCGUAUGUCUACAAGCAGUCGGAGCGAAAGCGACGGCGUGCCUAUUGAAGAAUGAGCCAACGAGUUACGUGCGCCAGCGAGGUUAAGCAGAAGAUGCGGAGCCGCAGGGAAACCGAGUCUGAAGAGGGCGAGGAGUUGGUGUACGUAGACCCGAAACUGCAGUGAUCUACGCAUGGCCAGAUUGAAACGCAGGUAAAAUUGCGCGGAGGAUCGAACCGGGACAUGUUGAAAAAUGUUCGGAUGAGCUGUGCGUAGGGGUGAAAUUCCAAUCGAACGCAGAGAUAGCUGGUUCUCCUCGAAAUAGCUUUAGGGCUAGCCUCAGGCAGUAAGCGCAGGCGGUAGAGCACUGAUCGGGAUAGGGGCCGUAAUGGCUACCGAACCCUGUCAAACUCCGAAUGGCAGCGCUGCAGAGCCUGGGAGUCAGACUACGAGUGAUAAGAUCCGUGGUCAAAAGGGAAACAGCCCAGACCAUCAGCUAAGGUCCCCAAUGCCGUACUAAGUGGAAAAGGAUGUGGGGUUUCAUAAACAACCAGGAUGUUGGCUCAGAAGCAGCCACCAUUUAAAGAGUGCGUAAUAGCUCACUGGUCGAGAGACCCUGCGCCGAAGAUUCCCGGGGCUAAAGUACGGAACCGAAGCUAUGGAUGCAUCCCUCGGGAUGCGUGGUAGAGGAGCGUUCCCAUCGGGCAGAAGUCGUUCUGGAAGGAACGGUGGACUGGUGGGAAGUGAGAAUGUUGGCAUGAGUAGCGAAAAGAAUGGUGAGAAUCCAUUCCACCGAAAACACAAGGAUUCCUGAGCAACGAUCGUCGUCUCAGGGUAAGUCGGGACCUAAUCCGAGGCAUGGAGCGUAGGAGAUGGACAUCCGGUUGAAAUUCCGGAACCGGCAGGAAUCGUCAAGAGCAAGGGAGUGACACAGGAAGGCAGGCGCGCAUGAGAUUGGAAGUUCAUGUGCAAGCGUGCGACGCGCGGGACAGGCAAACCCAUCCCGCACAAGCGCCAGGCGUGACGCGGAGGGAACCGCGAGGGACCCGAAGGCGCUGAGCCUACACUGUCGAGAAAAGCUUCUAGCAAGAGACCUGCCGCCCGUACCGUAAACCGACACAGGUGUGUGGGGAGAGAAUCCUAAGGUGCGCGGGAGAACCCUCGUUAAGGAACUCGGCAAAAUGUACCCGUAACUUCGGGAUAAGGGUAGCCGUCGGGCGUGAAGGGACCAGCUCCUGGAGCGCCGGAUGGCCGCAGAGAAGAGGCCCAAGCGACUGUUUACCAAAAACUUAGGUGCCUGCCAAAGCGAAAGCUGACGUAUAGGUGCUGACACCUGCCCAGUGCCGGAAGGUUAAGGAAGGAGGUCCGGGUUCGACCCAAAGCCUUCGACCGAAGCCCCGGUGAACGGCGGCCGUAACUAUAACGGUCCUAAGGUAGCGAAAUUCCUUGUCGGGUAAG
rnacentral:rRNA from 1 species